rnacentral:rRNA from 1 species
AUUCCUACGGGAGGCAGCAGUGGGGAAUUUUCCGCAAUGAGCGAAAGCCUGACGGAGCAACGCCGCGUGAGGGACGAAGGCCUCUGGGCUGUAAACCUCUUUUCUCAAGGAAGAAGAUAUGACGGUACUUGAGGAAUAAGCCACGGCUAAUUCCGUGCCAGCAGCCGCGGUAAUACGGGAGUGGCAAGCGUUAUCCGGAAUUAUUGGGCGUAAAGCGUCCGCAGGCGGCUUUUCAAGUCUGCUGUUAAAGCGUGGAGCUUAACUCCAUCAUGGCAGUGGAAACUGAAAGGCUUGAGUAUGGUAGGGGCAGAGGGAAUUCCCGGUGUAGCGGUGAAAUGCGUAGAUAUCGGGAAGAACACCAGUGGCGAAGGCGCUCUGCUGGGCCAUUACUGACGCUCAUGGACGAAAGCCAGGGGAGCGAAAGGGAUUAGAUACCCCUGUAGUCCUGGCCGUAAACGAUGAACACUAGGUGUCGGGGGAAUCGACCCCUUCGGUGUCGUAGCUAACGCGUUAAGUGUUCCGCCUGGGGAGUACGCACGCAAGUGUGAAACUCAAAGGAAUUGACGGAAU